GAGUUUGAUCCUGGCUCAGAACGAACGCUGGCGGCAGGCUUAACACAUGCAAGUCGAACGCCCCGCAAGGGGAGUGGCAGACGGGUGAGUAACACGUGGGAACGUGCCCAAAGGUACGGAACAACUCCGGGAAACUGGAGCUAAUACCGUAUGUGCCCGAAAGGGGAAAGAUUUAUCGCCUUUGGAUCGGCCCGCGUCUGAUUAGCUAGUUGGUGGGGUAAUGGCCCACCAAGGCGACGAUCAGUAGCUGGUCUGAGAGGAUGAUCAGCCACACUGGGACUGAGACACGGCCCAGACUCCUACGGGAGGCAGCAGUGGGGAAUAUUGGACAAUGGGCGCAAGCCUGAUCCAGCCAUGCCGCGUGAGUGAUGAAGGCCUUAGGGUUGUAAAGCUCUUUUGUCCGGGAGGAUAAUGACCGUACCGGAAGAAUAAGCUCCGGCUAACUUCGUG
rnacentral:rRNA from 1 species